rnacentral:lncRNA from 1 species
UUCAUUCAGAAAAAGCACACUUUAUAAUUUAUUUACUUUGUUUCUGGGCAAGAGUCAAAGUUAACAUUUUGGCACAGAUAUGUUUCAUUUCAUUUUCCCCGAACAACCCGUCGAAUCGUAGAUAAAAAAAAAUAAUAAUAAGCGUUUCAAAGCAAAAAAAUUGUAAUAAAAAAAGACAUUUCCUAUGAUGUGUUGUGAUAGUUAGAAAUUGAAACGGUUUAAGUGACAGAGAGCAUAAUAACUUAAACAACAUCGUCGACAAGCAGCUCAAGCGCUCUAAUAAAACAAUGUUCAACUGCAGCUGCACUCAGUGUCCCAGGCAAGCAGCUGGUACCACACUAGUCAAGGGUUAUGAGGCUAGCAGCUGGUACCACACUAGUCAAGGGUUAUGAGGCUAGCAGCUGGUACCACACUAGUCAAGGGUUAUGAGGGUAGCAGCUGGUACCACACUAGUCAAGGGUUAUGAGGCUAGCAGCUGGUACCACACUAGUCAAGGGUUAUGAGGCUAGCAGCUGGUACCACACUAGUCAAGGGUUAUGAGGCUAGCAGCUGGUACCACACUAGUCAAGGGUUAUGAGGCUAGCAGCUGGUACCACACUAGUCAAGGGUUUUAUCCCUAAUCGCACCCUUUUCCCUUACAGUCCUCUACAGGCCUAAGGUGGGCCCAAAACAUUGCAUUAUAAAGGGAAUAGGGUGGGCCCUGGUCCAGAACAGGGAAUAGGGUGGGCCCUGCUCCAGAACAGGGAAUAGGGUGGGCCCUUGUCCAGAACAAUGCACUAUAAAGGGAAUAAGGUGGGCCCUGUUCCAGAACAAUGCACUAUAAAGGGAAUAGGGUGUCAUUUGGGACAAAACCAAUCGUUUCUUCUUACAAGGCACAACAUCCCUCAUGUUAAACACAUCACCUUUACUUUGCUCAUUGGAGAGUUUGUGGUUUUAACACUACAAUAAAAACUGAAUGACGGUGCCAGAGAUAUAUUCACAGUAGGCUAUAUCCCUAUGGGGGCCACUGGAUUGUGCUCUCUAAGGACUGUAUGGAGGGAAGAACAGUAAGUAUGUAUUUGUUAGUUAACUGAUUGUUUACGUCGCCACAUUAUAGACACAGUAUAUCAAUGAGCUCGGGCUCUAAAUUAAGAUUUAAUGUGAAUCUUUGGCCAGUACCAGUCCAUUAUACAUUUAACUAAUUUAUAAUUAAAACAACUCCGUUACAUAAAUACAGAAUAUAACAGUGGGUUAAUCUCACCUAUGUAUUAUUAAGAUAGGUGUGUGUUAAAGGUAGAACACGGGGAUAUUGGUGUCUCUCUACCGGAUAACAAGUAGAUGAAUUAGGAGAUGAGGUGGUAGGGUACUCUCACCGAACAUUAUAUUGGUUUCUAUAUCAGAUUAGACACGACACUACAUGUAUAUAUAUGUGUGUAUGUGUGUGUGUGUGUGUGUGUGUGUGUGUGUGUGUGUGUGUGUGUGUGUGUGUGUGUGUGUGUGUGUGUGUGUGUGUGUGUGUGUGUGUGUGUGUGUCACCUUUGACAGCUGUCCACCCGCUUUACACAACAAAAGAAGCCCAUUAAACCCUAAAUCAGCAUGAAUCCCUCUAAAGCCCAUUAAACCCUAAAAUCAGCAUGAAUCCCUCUAAAGCCCAUUAAACCCUAAAUCAGCAUGAAUCCCUCUAAAGCCCAUUCAAUCCUAAAUCAGCAUGAAUCCCUCUACAGCCCAUUCAACCCUAAAUCAGCAUGAAUCCCUCUAAAGCCCACUAAACCCUAAAUCAGCAUGAAUCCCUCUAAAGCCCAUUAAACCCUAAAAUCAGCAUGAAUCCCUCUAAAGCCCAUUAAACCCUAAAUCAUCAUGAAUCCCUCUAAAGCCCAUUAAACCCUAAAAUCAGCAUGAAUCCCUCUAAAGCCCAUUAAACCCUAAAAUCAGCAUGAAUCCCUCUAAAGCCCAUUAAACCCUAAAAUCAGCAUGAAUCCCUCUAAAUGUAACAGUUACAGUAUAAUACAUAACAGACUAAGGCAAUGGAUGACGUCAUCACAUUAAAAGACAUUUUAACUCUCAUAUAAACUUUGGUCAUUUUUAAUAAAAACAAUUCUUCUGUAAGUUGGCAAAGUUUUUUAAAAGUUUGUUUUUUAAAGUAGCAUUUACAAAGAAAAUGUCUUCUGUACUUUUAUAUGAGAGAAACAUUGAUAAAUAUAAACCAACGUUAGACAUGUUUAGCCUUUACAUACGGCUGCAUUGGGUUGAAACAGGACAUAAAGGACACACAGAGAGAGAGAUUAAAAGGUCAAGUGCUGCUUUUAAAGUCACUAAGGAGGGAAGGGAGAUUCUUUAGGGUGUAUUUCCCAAAUCGCAUUCCCUAUUGCCAAUAUAGUGCACUACUUUUGCCCAGAGCCCCAUAGGCCCUAUAGUAGCGCACUAUAUAGGGGUUAGGGGUGCCAAUUAGGAGGCAGGCUAUGAUUGACGUGCUCUGACUGUACAUGAUGAGAGAAACAGAGAAAGUCCUCCCUGAUGAAUCGCAUGGACUAGUGGGUUAAAAAUACAUUAUAUUCAAUAAUAUGGCUCCCCCUUAGGCUUCCUGACGUCCAGGUUCAUCACUACAGAGGGGAUGAGAGGAAUAUUCAAUACUGUCUCUCCCCCUUAGGCUUCCUGACGUCCAGGUUCAUCACUACAGAGGGGAUGAGAGGAAUAUUCAAUACUGUCUCUCCCUCUUAGGCUUCCUCACGUCCAGGUUCAUCACUACAGAGGGGAUGAGAGGAGUAGGUCUGCAUAGCCUGGUCUAAAAACGGCACAAACAGAUCUGGGACCAGGCUAUGGUCAUCAAGCAUCGAUGCUGGCUCUGGGCUGGGGUUUGGGAAAUGUAUGAAAUUAGAGACUUUCAUGGAUCUGAUAAUCUCUUGGCCUGGUCCCGUGGCCUGGGUCCCGUGGCCUGGUCCCGUGGCCUGGUCCCGUGGCCUGGUCCCGUGGCCUGGUCCCGUGGCCUGGCCUGGUCCCGUGGCCUGACCUGGUCCCGUGGCCUGACCUGGUCCCCUGGCCUGGGUCCCGUGGCCUGGUCCCGUGGCCUAGGUCCCGUGGCCAAGGUCCCGUGGCCUAGGUCCCGUGGCCUGGUCUCAUAUCUGCUUGUGUCUUGUCAACUCCUAUGGUUGUUGUUAUUGCUGUUUGGCCUGACCAUGACCAUAGGAGUUGGGUAACAGAGCACAAACCAAUCAGGGACCAGGAUCCGGUCAUCAAUCAACAACACUCUCUCUGGGCUGGUGUUUAGGACGUUUAUAAAGUUGGUGCUUUCAGCCCUAUCUUCUCCCCUCUUUGAUCUCUCUCUCUCUCUACCUCCCCCCCUCUCUCCCUCCCUCCCUCUCUGCCUCCCGAGUGGCCUCCCAGUGCUAGAGGCGUCACUACAGACCCUGGUUCGAUUCCAGGCUUUAUCACAACCGGCCGUGAUUGGGAGUCCCAUAGGCACAAUUGGCCCAUAGGCACAAUUGGCCCAGCGUCGUCCAGGUUUGGGGAGGGUUUGGCCGGAGGGGCUUUACUUUGCUCAUCGCGCUCUAGCGACUCCUUGUGGCGGGCCGGGUGCCUGCGGGCAGACCCGGUCGUCAGUUGAACUGUGUUUCCUAAGACA